rnacentral:rRNA from 1 species
GAUUUCUGGCUUGUUCCAUACCGCCGGCCACGGUUUCGUGUGUUAGUGCGGUGUGUACUGGCCAUCCUUCCCAGAGUCGCCCGUCCGGCUUCAUUGCUGGGCGUGCGGGCUGGGAUCGUUUACUUUGAAAAAAUUAGAGUGUUUCAAGCAGGCUUGAUGCUAUGAAUACAUUAGCAUGGAAUAAUGAUUUAGGACUUCGGUUCUAUUUUGUUGGUUUCUAGGACGGAAGUAAUGAUUGAUAGGGACAGUUGGGGGUGCUAGUAUUCAGCGGCCAGAGGUGAAAUUCUUGGAUUCGCUGAAGACUAACUUAUGCGAAAGCAUU